rnacentral:rRNA from 2 species
CUUGACCUCGGAUCAGGUAGGGAUACCCGCUGAACUUAAGCAUAUCAAUAAGCGGA